rnacentral:ncRNA from 1 species
CGUAAAGCGAUGACGGAGACUAGUACGCAGGACCUAUCUGUUUUUUCAGGGAGAAGAUGCCACAGACUGCGAGCAUCUUUAACAUGAUAGCUGCCGAAUUCACUCCAAAGCCGCACUCUGAACCGCUUUUCGCGCAGUAGGAGCAGCCGGGUCAUACCCGUUACCAAUGAUCUGAAGUGAGACAAAUGUCUCUUUCCACUAGUGAUAUUGUCAUGCAUUUGUCACAGGGUGGAAGCGAAUUGUCUAACAAGGGUGGUACCGCGAGAAAAAAGUAACUCGUCCCUUUU